rnacentral:rRNA from 1 species
AGUGAACGCUGGCGGUAGGCCUAACACAUGCAAGUCGAACGGCAGCACAGUAAGAGCUUGCUCUUACGGGUGGCGAGUGGCGGACGGGUGAGGAAUACAUCGGAAUCUAUUUUUUCGUGGGGGAUAACGUAGGGAAACUUACGCUAAUACCGCAUACGACCUACGGGUGAAAGCAGGGGAUCUUCGGACCUUGCGCGAUUGAAUGAGCCGAUGUCGGAUUAGCUAGUUGGCGGGGUAAAGGCCCACCAAGGCGACGAUCCGUAGCUGGUCUGAGAGGAUGAUCAGCCACACUGGAACUGGGACACGGUCCAGACUCCUACGGGAGGCAGCAGUGGGGAAUAUUGGACAAUGGGCGCAAGCCUGAUCCAGCCAUACCGCGUGGGCGAAGAAGGCCUUCGGGUUGUAAAGCCCUUUUGUUGGGAAAGAAAAGCAGCAGGUUAAUACCCCGCUGUUCUGACGGUACCCAAAGAAUAAGCACCGGCUAACUUCGUG